rnacentral:lncRNA from 1 species
CCUGUGCUGCAGGGUCCCUCCUGCAUCACCUAGCACGUCCUGAUGUCUACUCUUCUGUUUUCUCCUCUCUCUCCAGUCGACUGAAGAAGGAAGGAGACAAGCAGUUAUAAGUUAUUUAUUUGUUAUGCUGCUGUGGAAACCCCAGUUCUAGGGGGCAGAAACAGGACUUUUACAUCUAGUAGGCGCUGCAAGAGCAAAGAGGAAUAUCGUCUAAAGAUUUCUCUAUAUUUAAACCCACAACUAAAAACACAUCUGCAUAGUAGUGUUUGUUUGUUGAGAGGAUUUCCUGAGACCAGUUGAGGUCUCCCUGCAUGACAGUCCCCCAGAAACGGCGUGUCCUGGGCUGGACUGACACCCAGAAAACGUACCUGCGAUCUUGGGGUUUGGCUUUAGUUCUCUUUUCCUUGAUUUCUCAGUAGGUGCUAGAGUCCGUUCACACCCUUCACUGUGCGCGCAGACACUGAGGCACGUGGGCUCUGGAACCCACGGGGUUUGCAAAGAGGCGGCGUAUGAGUUUGAAAUCCAAGAGCUAUAAUUUUUAAAAAAUCUUUUAUUUUACUACAUUGUAGGAAAUCUUCAUAAUUUGAGACAGUUCUGCAGCAUGGCUUUUUACAUCUGUAAAUAAAUAAUUUUAGAAGUCUUUUUUUCUGUCCACAGACGACUAUUCUGAUCUAUUUUUUCCAGCCAUGUCACAAAGUGUGAAUUCCUACCAGCUAUUGACAGAAUACAGAGUUGAUUUUUUAAUAAAAAGUUAUAUAUAAUUAUCCCUUUAAUUAAAGGGAACAGAUGGGCGUUUCUGUUUCUAGUUUGAAGCAGGCAGGAGCUUGGGACUAGGUUUGGUCACAGCAGUGAGCACCCAAGGGUUGGCAGGGACAGUGUUACAGGCUCUUUGUUUUGCUGCUUUGAUUUCAUUUCUGUCUGUCCCUCGCAUGUGCAGUGGCAGGCGUGUUUGAGCGAGCCUCCUUCCUCAUUCAUAGGGGUUCAGUGUUGACUCUGUUCCCUGGUGUCCCCACUGUCCUGUGUCUGGUAUAGAAAGCGCAUGUUUAUGUGUAUGUGUCUGAUGAUAAGUUUCCCUAGAGUGUUAUGCACAUGUUUGAUUGUUCUAGAUAAAUUGUCAUAAACAUUCUAGGAAGCUCAAGAAAAUGAUGCAGUACCCAGCACAUGAAAGACCUAUGCCAUGUGCUUGCCAAAGGAAUGUUAGAGUCUGCUCAUGUGCAUGUCACCACGCCAAGCCGUGCCAGCCACAGACUGAGAGACUUCAGAGUGAGGAACCCCCUAGGGUCACUAUGGUUGUAUGGUUGUGCUCAGGGCUAUGCAGCAGGCUGUGCAGGAAGCUGUGUCCUGCGUUUCCUCCUGGAAUAGGAAUUAAGGUCCUGGUUGAAGCAGGUUCCCCUGGGAAGUCCUCUCCAGCAGGCCUUCGGAGCAGAACUGACUCCUGCCCCGCUGUCCCUGAUGGAGUUCUCCUACCAGAGCUGUGACCCUCCCUUGGACUCUGGAAUGCAGUGGUUGCAUUUAGAAACAGCUAGCUAGUCAAGGACCAUCGAUGGCAGCAGACGAGGUGUGUCCUGGCCCUGUGGAGAGAAGUGUGUGUGGUUCAGCUGGCAUUCACUCCGCUCCAGGCUCUGACUCAGGUGGCAGAGCCUCAUGCUCCCUGAGCCAUGCAUGGGGCAACUAGGAUCCAUUUGUCCGUUGGAGAUGUUUGUAGCUUUUUUGUUUUGUUUUUUAACUUUGUUUUUCUCAUUCCAUUUCUGCCUUAAUUUUGGUUCUUCAUAGGAGGCAAGCUCAAAUUAACCUUUUGUCAUCAGACCUUCUGGCCGCCUUGGCAUGAAGGCAUCUUUUUCCUCUGGGGUUGGUGACAUGGCCUCCGGAUGGUCUGCCUGCCCUCCAGCCCUCUGGACUGAGGAAGACCCCCACAGGAUCUGGACAGGCAGGUCCUUUCUGUCCCACGCCACCACCUCCUUCCCCUUUUAACUGAGUCUGCCGUUCAGUUAACCCUUUAUUUCCUUUCUAGUACCCAUUUCCAAAGAGAAAGAGUGAAGUACUUUGAAGUCUGUACUUGAAAUCUGUCUGGCAGUGUUUCCCUAUUAGUUCUGGGUUUCUCCCCUGUCCCAAGGUGAAGCGCUGAGAGCCUUCAUUUCUCCGUGACUGACAGCAGUUCGUUUGGAGGCCCUGGACCUUUGUGGCGUCUUUGAAGCCUGGCCUCUUGGCUUCCUUUUGGAUUUUCCUUGCUUUGAUUUGAAGUUUGGGUUUGCUUUCCGUGUUCUGUACGUAUCUUGUUCAGUGUCGUCAAGGUUGAGCUUCACGUCUCACUGCAGUGGAGCGAGCGGACAUUCUGAUCGCUGCAUUUCUUUAGAUCUCGGAGCUAAAUGUAUAUAUGAGUAGUUCGCAAUGAGAUAACACAGUGUAAACAGUAGACACCCAGAAAAUCGUGACUUCUGUGUUUUCUCCAUUUGAGUAUUUUGUAAUUUUUUUGAAAUAUUUGUGGACAUAAAUAAAACCAAGCUACACUACAGC